rnacentral:rRNA from 1 species
GACAGAGGUGGCUAGCGUUGUUCGGAAUCACUGGGCUUAAAGGGUGUGUAGGCGGUCCAGUAAGCAUCCCGUGAAAGCCCUCGGCUCAACCGAGGAAUUGCAGGAUGAACUGCUGGACUUGAGACGCGUAGGGGCCAGUGGAACUCUGGGUGGAGCGGUGAAAUGCGUAGAUAUCCAGGGGAACGCCAGUGGCGAAAGCGACUGGCUGGGCGCGUUCUGACGCUGAGGCACGAAAGCGUGGGGAGCAAACGGGAUUAGAUACCCCCGUA